rnacentral:rRNA from 1 species
CGGGAUAACGGCCCACCAAGGCUGCGAUGAGAUAGCCCGCCUGAGAGGGUGAUCGGCCACAUUGACACUGAGAUACGGCCCAGACUCCUACGGGAGGCAGAGGUAGGGAAUUUUGUGCAAUGGACGAAAGUGUGACGCACCAACGCCGCGUGAGCAAUACAAGGUCUUCGGAUCGAAAAGCUCUGUUGAGUGCUAAGAAACGUCUCGGGGUUAAUAUCUCCGAGGCCUGACGGUACCACUCGAGGAAGCUCCGGCCAACUACGUGUCAGUAGCCGCUAUAAUACGCAGGGAGCGAGUGUUGUUCGGAAUCACUGGGCGUAAAGGGAGUGCAGGCACAAAGGUAAGUCAGAUGUGUAAUCUACGGGCUUAAGCCCGUAUCUCGCUUUUGAUACUGCUUUUUCUUGAGUAGCGGAGAGGGAAACGGAAUUCCAGGUGUAGCGGUGGAAUGCGUAGAUAUCGGCAAGACCACCAGUAGCGAAGGCGGUUUCCUGUCCUCAUACUGACGCUGAGUCUCGAAAGCGUGGGGAGCAAUCAGGAUCAGAUAGCCUGGUAGUCCACGCCGUAAACGAUGGGCAAUAGAUAUCGGGGAAUUCGAUUUCUUCGGUGUCGCAGGUAACGCGAUAAGUGCCCCGCCUGUGGAGUACGCCCGCAAGGGUGAAACUCAAAGGAAUUGACGGGGGCCCGCACAAGCGGUGGAGCAUGCGCUUUAAUUUGAUGCAACGCGAAGAACCUUACCUGGGUGUGACAUGGGAGUGAAAGUUCCUAGAGAUAGGAACCUUUCCUUCGGGAACACUCCACACAGGUGCUGCAUGGUUGUCGUCUGCUCGUGUCGUGAGAUGUUGGGUUAAGUCCCGCAACGAGCGCAACCCUCGCCCUUAGUUGCCAUCAGGUAAUGCUGGGAACUUUAGGGGGACCGCCUGGAACAACCAGGAGGAAGGUGGGGA